AUUAAAUCAGUUAUAAUUUAUUUGAUAGUACCUUUACUUGGAUAACUGUGGUAAUUCUAGAGCUAAUACAUGCUAAAAACCUCGACUUCGGGAGGGGUGUAUUUAUUAGAUUAAAAACCAAUGCCCUUCGGGGCUCUUUGGUGAUUCAUAAUAACUAAACGAAUCGCAUGGCCUUGCGCCGGCGAUGGUUCAUUCAAAUUUCUGCCCUAUCAACUUUCGAUUGUAGAGUAGUGGUCUACAAUGGUUUCAACGGGUAAGGGGAAUUAGGGUUCUAUUCCGGAGAGGGAGCCUGAGAAACGGCUACCACAUCCAAGGAAGGCAGCAGGCGCGCAAAUUACCCAAUCCCGACACGGGGAGGUAGUGACAAUAAAUACUGAUACAGGGUUCUUUUGGAUCUUGUAAUUGGAAUGAGUACAAUGUAAAUACCUUAACGAGGAACAAUUGGAGGGCAAGUCUGGUGCCAGCAGCCGCGGUAAUUCCAGCUCCAAUAGCGUAUAUUAAAGUUGUUGCAGUUAAAAAGCUCGUAGUUGAACCUUGGAUCUGGCUGAUCUGUCCUCCUAAUCGAGCGCACGGAUUCGGCUGGAUCUUUCCUUCUGGGGAACCCUAUGCCCUUUACUGGGCGUAGUGGGGAACCAGGACUUUUACUUUGAAAAAAUUAGAGUGUUCAAAGCAGGCCUUUGCUC
rnacentral:rRNA from 1 species